GGGCCCGUAGCUCAGUGGUCAGAGCACUCGACUCAUAAUCGAAGGGUCGCAGGUUCAAAUCCUGCCGGGCCCA
rnacentral:tRNA from 1 species